rnacentral:tRNA from 1 species
GGCUCGGUAGCUUAGUUGGUAAAGCACUUGUCUAGCGAAUAAGGGUCGUGAGUUCAAACCUUACCUGUGCUG